UAUAUCUAAAUUUAGCCAUGCUUAGUCUCCAGAACAUGGUUGUGCAAUUAGCAAUAAGAUCCUUCUACUCCUCAUUGACAAGAGUUUGGUUUCAAUACAUCCUAAUAAUAACCUUCUGAGUUCAGAUGAAAAUCUUGACCUCAAAUGUUGACUCUCCAUUUUCCUCCACAGAUGCUAUACGACCAGCUGAGUUCCUUAUUUGUUGCUCAUUGAAUAUGCACACAUCUGCUAGUCACCAGCUCUGGUUCCAUCUGGGGAAGAUUAGCUGGUCCCCACAGUAUCCUCAGAACCCACAAAACCCAGGGUGGAAGCAAGUCAUCCUCGAUUCAGAAGGACCAUUUAAGAAGGUUGCAAGAAACACAGAAAGUGUGAGGAGGAUACAGGCAGAUUAUCAACAUCCUGCUGAAGGGGAAGUUACUGUGCCGGUAUAAGCUGUGUCAGAAUGAGGCUGAUCAAUACUCACACUAUGGCUAAGUCGAACUGAAAGAAACAUUCAUCAUGAUAACAAGAAUUAACUUCAAAGCUAC